CCUUUGUGCCGAGCAGGUUGAUGUUAAAAGCAAUGAGGAACUUCCUCGCCCCCGUGGCCGUGGCCCCCCAACUGGGGACAAAGGAGCUGGGACCAAAGUCGGGCGCCCAGUCGGCCUGCUGGAGCUGUGAGCAAGUUCGCUCUGGGAACCGCAAGCAACCACAUAAAUAUAACGGCAGAGAAGAGGAAAAACUCGUGAACCCGCACACCAGUGUGACUGUGACGUGGGCCCUGCGUCGGGAUUUCCUUCGGGGGGACUGGCAUGACCGUGACGGGGGUUACGUGUGCCCUGCAUGCCGGCGUGACCGUGACGGGGGUUACGUGUGCCCUGCACGCUGGCGUGACUGUGACCUACGUCCCUGCCUCGGGAUUUCUUUCCAGGAGCGCUGGGUUGGUGCAGCCUAGGGGUGGGUAUGCACUUUGUCCCGUUUGUCUCUGUUUGUUUCAUAUCAUUUUCUUGAUUUAGUUAAUUUCCCAAAGUGAAAUUAUUCUGCUCUAGAA
ensembl:lncRNA FTCD-AS1 FTCD antisense RNA 1